rnacentral:lncRNA from 1 species
CAAUCGCGCAAGCUGCUCCCCCUGUUUCCCUGUUCCCCUUUGCCCCCUUGGGGGCUGCUCAAGGGUAGGUGGGCAUGGGUGGUAGGAGGGGUUUUUUUACCCAGGGCUCUGGAAGGACACCAAACUGUUCUGCUUGUUACCUUCCCUCCAUCUUCCUAACUUUCACAGUCCCCUCCUGCCUGCUCCUGUCCUGCCAGGUCUGCCACCCACCCUGCCCCUCUUUUCUGGCUCCCUGCCCCUCCAGAUUGCCUGGUGAUCUAUUUUGUUUCCUUUUGUGUUUCUUUUUCUGUUUUGAGUGUCUUUCUUUGCAGGUUUCUGUAGCCGGAAGAUCUCCGUUCCGCUCCCAGCGGCUCCAGUGUAAAUUCCCCUUUCCCCUGGGGAAUGCACUACCUUGUUUUGGGGGGUUUUGGGGUGUUUUUUGUUUUUCAGUUUUUUUGUUUUGUUUUUCUUUGCCUUUUUUUUUCCCUUUUAUUUGGAGGGAAUGGGAGGAAGUGGGAACAGGGAGG